GACGAACGCUGGCGGCGUGCUUAACACAUGCAAGUCGAACGGGCCUUGUCCCCUUUUUUUUUGGGGGUGGGGUUAGUGGCGAACGGGGGAGUAACACGUGAGUAACCUGCCCCUCACUUCUGGAUAACCGCUUGAAAGGGUGGCUAAUACGGGGUGUUCUGGCCUGCUCGCAUGGGUGGGUUUGGAAAGAUUCGACCGGUUUUGGUUGUUUUGGUGGGGGAUGGGCUCGCGGCCUAUCAGCUUGUUGGUGGGGUGAUGGCCUGCCAAGGCUUUGACGGGUAGCCGGCCUGAGAGGGUGGGCGGUCACACUGGGACUGAGACACGGCCCAGACUCCUACGGGAGGCAGCAGUGGGGAAUAUUGCACAAUGGGGGCAAGCCUGAUGCAGCGACGCCGCGUGAGGGAUGGAGGCCUUCGGGUUGUGAACCUCUUUCGCCAGUGAAGAAGGUCCUGCUCUUUGUGGUGGGGUUGACGGUAGCUGGGUUAAUGAAGCGCCGGCUAACUACGUG
rnacentral:rRNA from 1 species